rnacentral:rRNA from 1 species
GACGGGGGGGGCAAGUGUUCUUCGGCAUGACUGGGCGUAAAGCGCACGUAGGCGGAUCUUUAAGUCAGGGGUGAAAUGCCAAGGCUCAACCUUGGAACUGCCUUUGAUACUGGAGAUCUUGAGUCCGGGAGAGGUGAGUGGAAUUGCGAGUGUAGAGGUGAAAGUCGUAGAUAUUCGCAAGAACACCAGUGGCGAAGGCGGCUCACUGGCCCGGAACUGACGCUGAGACGCGAAAGCGUGGGGAGCAAACAGG